UAACACCACACAUUAUUUUAUAAUUAUAUACUUUCUAUGAUACGCACGGAAAAAAAUAAUUUUGCUGUUGCAGCGAAAUUGUUGCUGCUACUUGAAUACUGCAUAUGUAUUUGAUAAGAAUGUGAUGGCGAUACGAAAAUCUCUUUAUUAUACAUUAUUAAAAUUAUUCAUCAUUACAGCAGAACGUUUGACUGAACAGAAAUUCUUUUAUUUCUUUAGCUAAAUAUUUCGCACAAUUAUUUUUCAAUAAAAUUAGUGUUCUUAACACAGAGUUGACCAUAAACGAGAAAAUAACUUUAUUAUUAAAUAACAGACAAAAUUUACUUAAAUUUACAUAUGGUAUACUGUGCUAGCAAAUUAUUUUUCUCCGCGUGAUGUCCGUGAGUGGAACAAGUUUUCAACUUGCCUGCAACAGCCCUGAUGUGGGGCCUAGUCGAUGUAUUUACAGCCCGGCUGAAGUGCCCACAAUACUUCCUUGCCGAUAGCUGGUUGCUAAGGCGGGAAAGAACUCACUCACUAGAUAUAUGAGAUAUAAGAGACUUUAUUGAGAUCUCGGUUCACGGUAAGGUGAUCGGUCUUAACCGUGACACAGGCGAGUAACGACUAACAUAUUCUGUUCCCGCUCGAACAGCGCCACCAACGACCAUAGACUGUGUCGUCGUAUAGAUGGGCAACUGCAAGUCGCCACACACUCCCCCCCGAGUGCUAACGCUGGAGAGAAAGAAAAAAAAUAAUUUGGUAUGACACUGUGUGUCUAUCACAAAUAAUCGGCGCUGCCGAAUAUCACAAAGAAUAUUGCAGGCAUACAUGUAAUACCGCUGCUUAGAACUAGAGUGUAUACGCAGGAUGUAUCACAGAAAUUACAGACUGUUAUAAUUUGACAAUACCGCUACUUAUAGACUAACGCAUACGCAGGAUGUAUCGC